UAGGGAAUCUUCCGCAAUGGGCGAAAGCCUGACGGAGCAACGCCGCGUGAGUGAUGAAGGUCUUCGGAUCGUAAAACUCUGUUAUUAGGGAAGAACAAAUGUGUAAGUAACUAUGCACGUCUUGACGGUACCUAAUCAGAAAGCCACGGCUAACUACGUGCCAGCAGCCGCGGUAAUACGUAGGUGGCAAGCGUUAUCCGGAAUUAUUGGGCGUAAAGCGCGCGUAGGCGGUUUUUUAAGUCUGAUGUGAAAGCCCACGGCUCAACCGUGGAGGGACAGUGGAAACUGGAAAACUUGUGUGGAGAAGAGGAAAGUGGAAUUACAUGUGUAGCGGUGGAAUGCGAAGAGAUAUGGAGGAAGACCAGUGGCGAAGGCGACUUUCUAGUCUGUAAAUGACGCUGAUGUGCGAAAGCGGGGGGAUCAAACAGG
rnacentral:rRNA from 1 species